GUUAUCCUCCCCAUUAUGGCUCAGUUGGUUAGAGCAGGGGACUGAUAACGCCUAAGUCACAGGUUUGAUCCCCAUACAGGAUAACU